AUUUAUUUCAGCCUUGAGUGGGGCUAUAAGGAGUGCCGAAGGUCAUCCUGGCUCCCAAAGGGAGGCCCAAGUGCCUGCUAGGUAUCAAGCAUUGUUGCUAGGUGGUUGAGGGAAACAAUGGAGCACUCUGUAGAUUGCCAGAGUCAACUUCUGUUGUCAAAUGUCAAUGGAUCAUCAACCAUGUCAAGAUGAGAAAACUGAUGCCACCACGUGAUUUAUCGGAGAACAUGCCGAGCUGUUCCCAAAGCCUCAUCUCCAGGAUCCAGCUAAGGACCCCUUCCUACAUACCGUGUCGGGGUCUUGGGUUGCGUUGAGAACGUAACCAUCACAUCAUGUACGGAAGCGCACAUGCGUGACACCUCGCACACGAUUCAGGAAGUCCCAGUCCAGGCACAGAGUUAAGAGCCCAUGUGUGUUGUGCUACGUUAGGGUUAACAUGAAUGAGGGCAGCCUUGAGUGCUGCGAAGUCAGGGAC